rnacentral:scRNA from 1 species
UCAAUGAACUGGCCCGCUCCUGAGAGGGUUAU